AUUGAACGCUGGCGGCAGGCCUAACACAUGCAAGUCGAACGAGUGGCGGACGGGUGAGUAAUGUCUGGGAAACUGCCUGAUGGAGGGGGAUAACUACUGGAAACGGUAGCUAAUACCGCAUACCAUCGGAAGUGCCCAGAUGGGUUUAGCUAGUAGGUGGGGUAAAGGCUCACCUAGGCGACGAUCCCUAGCUGGUCUGAGAGGAUGACCAGCCACACUGGAACGGAAACGCGAUCCAGACUCCAACGGGAGGCGACGGUGGAGAGUAGUGCACAGUGGGCGCAAGCCUAAUGUAACCAUGCCGCGUGUAGUAAAGGGGCCAGCGGGUUGUAAAGUACUAUCAGCGUGGAAGCUUUACCCUCAGAAGAAGCACCGGCUAACUCCGUGCCAGCAGCCGCGGUAAUAC
rnacentral:rRNA from 1 species